GCGGCGAAGGGCCGCGGCCGAGGGAAGCCCGACGGCGGCUCGGAGGCAGCGGGGCUGGGGCCAGGCCGGGGUGGGCCCCGCUGACGGCGGGACUUGGCUCGCCGGUUCUGGAACCAGACCUGGGGAGAGAGGGCGGCGAUAAGGCAGCAUGUACAGAGCAGUGCAGGAGGAGCAGGGAGCUGCUGACACUGAAAAUCCUGGCAGACUGAAGACUGAUCCUCCCUGCACACAGAGCUUGGGUUUGCAUCUCUUCAGACAAAUGGCAUCUUCCCACUGGCUGCACGGAGCAGGCUCCUCCUUCAGGGACCAGGAUAAUUUCUGCCUGUGACACACAAAGAACCACACAGAACCAGCUGUUACAAGAUAUAAAUGAACAAUUUACUGGCUGAACUCAGCACAUGUUCUCAAGCUAUUGGAAACUCUGUCACCAUCAUUUGGGAAAUACUUGGUUAUUACAUUAUCCCAGACCAGGACUUCCUGACUCCUCAAAAUUUGAGCUUCCCUUUUUCCUAAUGUAUCAUCUCACAGCUAUUCGCCUUCCUAUACCUGACCAUGCACACAGCUUGCCCACCAGUUGCACAUCACAGCACUUACUGACACUGCUGCAUAACAGCAAGUUUCUGUAUUGCUCAAUCCAACUUGGAAGUGCCAUGAAACAGGGAAGUCGAUGUAACACACCAUUCCAUGCUCAGCAGACCACUGUGCUAUGGGAAGGCAGGCAGAGAGCUCCGCACUUCCUGGUGGCUCUCUGAACAGAGGCAGAGCAGGCUGCAGCACCGUGCCUUGGCCAUGCCUCAGUCAGGCGCAGUGCUACCGGAGAUGUCUUCCUUCAGCAUUCCAGCUGGGAUCUCUCCAAGAGACUACGCUGCACUUCAUGGAGAAACCUGCUCCGCUGGCGCCAGCUCGCGUGUCUGUAGCACGGAAUAGCAAAGCUGGCACAAGAAGAAAGGAAUAGUCUCACAUUUGCUCCGGGAGAGAGCCUGUCAGGAGACAAGUCAGUUUUCUGCAAUUAUUCCCAAAAUCAGCUUGUCAAGCAAGAUGCUUGUGGAGCAUCCUGGAUUUAGCUUGGCCUCCAAACACAUAGGCAGACUGAGGACUGGUGUAUAAAAUGAAGUUAAUAUGUCCUUCUGUUUUGGUGAAACAUAGACUAUCCAGUAGGGAUCAGUGAGAACUUCAGUUUCUUUUACUCAAAGGAUUCAUUUUUAGGAUAAAGAAUUCAGAGUUUCUUAAAGCAGGAACUUUAACCUCACAAAGGAUUAAACCAUAGAAUUGAUGCCAUAAGAAAAUACUUAGGAAGCACAGGCUGCUCAAGCCAAGCAGGAAACAUGUAUCAAAGCUUUGAAAACAGAUGUUUUAAUACAAGUGGUUUUAGAAAUGAACUAACAAAAUGAAAUUGGAUCUGAUGCUGACAUGAUAGGCUUGUAAAGCAGGCUUGUGUGAGGAGCUAAAAUCACCCAUCCUGCUGUAUGUCUGCUCCAUGAGAUAGCACCAAGUAGUCAGAACAGAGGGCAAACAAUACAGUGUUAUAUUUGGUCAUAGAACCAUAGAAUGGUUUGGGUUAGAAAGCACCUUAAAGCUCAUCCAGUUCCAACCCUGCCACGGGCAGGGACACCUUCCACUAGACCAGGUUGUUCCAAGCCCCAUCCAACCUGGCCUUGAACCCUGCCAGGGAUGGGGCAGCCACAGCUUCCCUGGGCACACUGUGCCAGUAUCCCCAAUCAAAAAAGACCCCAACCACAAAACCAAACCAAAAUGCUAGUGAAGGAACUACAAAAGAUUCCCAAUUGGUUGUAAAAUGCCUUUUGAAACUGAUUUAUCAUCUGAAUCAAAUUGUGCCCCAUUUGUAGUCAACAGCACCCUGUGUGGCACUCACUCUCUUACAAAAUACUAAUGGGA